rnacentral:rRNA from 1 species
CCCCUAGAUGUUCUGGGCCGCACGCGCGCUACACUGAACAGUUCAACAAGUCUUAACCUUGGCCGAUAGGUCUGGGUAAUCUUUGAACGCUGUUCGUGAUUGGGAUAGACCUUUGCAAUUAUGGGUCUUCAACGAGGAAUUCCUAGUAAACGCAAGUCAUCAGCUUGCAUUGAUUACGUCCCUGCCCUUUGUACACACCGCUCGUCGCACCUACCGAUUGAAUGGUCCGGUGAAAUCUCGGGACGGCGGCUUGGUCGCUUGCGUCCGACUGCUGAAACUUGAUUAAACCAUAUCAUUUAGAGGAAGGUGAAGUCGUAACA